rnacentral:tRNA from 1 species
GGUCGAUCCGGCGAGGAUGCCGGGUGGCUUGUGUCCACUCUGAGUGAAGUUCAACGCCCCAACCGACCA